GGGCUUGUUCACUUGCACAGUCCUAUGGUCAUAGCUAGUCCUUCUUAAAGCUCUAGCCAGUGGGAAAGCGUUUGUGUUUCUAUCCUUGGAGCUCCAAGUGGGACUUCUUAAAAGAUUUAGAAGGAGCAAAGCUGUCAGGAAAUCAGAAACGUCACAUGGACUCCAUGACUGGGAAAAACCUCGUGGUGGCCUGCUCUCAGUGCUUGGAUGUGUGCUAGUUACAUCUCGGAGGUCUGAUUUUCUUAACUCUACUACGGUAAGAAGAUGCCCUCCAUCAGCAGGCCGUGUCUGCUGGGACCUCUCUGGAGACUUCCUGAACCCUGUGGAUUUACAGUAAGAUGCAGUUUCCUGGGGAGUAAUUCUGGUGGAUACAAAUUCCGGAGUAUUACACCUGGCUUGCCUGGAGAUGUUACAAGUAGCUGGAUGGAUUCUUCAGCCUGGAUGCCCACUGAAAACAAGGACCGAAACUAAGAGGAUUGUAUCUCUACCCUUGACUCAAUGAGAAUGUUUGUUGUCAUCUCUCGGGCUACCUGGAGCUCCCUCUAAAAUGUAAGCCCCUAAGACCCAUCUCCUUUCAAUGCAGUGUUUCUGGUAUGUUCCUGUCUUUACACCAAGCUGUCCUGGAUGCUGGUUGAGGGCUGUCUGUUGAUGUGGCUGCUAGGAAGAGAUCUGCUGUCUUCCGUGUCUGUCUAUGUGUCUGGUAUGACGCUGGGCGCCUGUGGGAGAAAGACAAAAAAUAGAAGUUGUUCGAGUUAA
rnacentral:lncRNA from 1 species